AUUGAACGCUGGCGGCAUGCUUUACACAUGCCAGUCGAGCGGCAGCGCGGGGGCAACCCUGGCGGCGAGCGGCGAACGGGUGAGUAAUGCAUCGGAACGUAUCCUCGAGUGGGGGAUAACCCAGCGAAAGUUGGGCUAAUACCGCAUGAGCUCUGAGGAGGAAAGCGGGGGACCUGCGAGGGCCUCGCGCUGGAGGAGCGGCCGAUGUCCGAUUAGCUAGUUGGUGGGGUAAAGGCUUACCAAGGCGACGAUCGGUAGCUGGUCUGAGAGGAUGAUCAGCCACACUGGGACUGAGACACGGCCCAGACUCCUACGGGAGGCAGCAGUGGGGAAUUUUGGACAAUGGGGGCAACCCUGAUCCAGCCAUGCCGCGUGAGUGAAGAAGGCCUUCGGGUUGUAAAGCUCUUUCGGACGGAACGAAAUGGGCGGGACUAAUACUCCUGUCUGAUGACGGUACCGUAAGAAGAAGCACCGGCUAACUACGUGC
rnacentral:rRNA from 1 species